AUUCUGAGGAGGAGGAGUUCUUCAUCUGUGAUUAAUUCCCAUAUCCUGAGCAUUGCACAGAAUCAUGAACAAAGGUUUCGAUUCUUCAGCAGUUCGUGUUGCUAACCUGCUCUUCCGGACACCUGAAUUCUGCUGCAUCAAUCACAGGACUGGGCACCUCAGCGCAUGUGUUCCCUGGCAGUCGAUCCCAUGACCUUGGUGUUGCUCUAUGCUCUGCAGUCUGCAAGCUGCAGGUUAUGUACAAUAUAACAUAUCUUGGCCUUCAAUCAGCUGUUCUGGGUUAUGGCAAUCUCACCUCCUG